ACAGGACAGGGGGCGGGUGAGGAUUAGGCGGAGGCGAAGUGCAGAAAGCGGGGGCCGAAGUUGAAAAGUGGGCCCAAAUGAGACUUAGAAGUAGAAGAGCCUUUGGCUUAUGAGAUAAAGUAAAAAAAAAGAAAAAAAUCUUGACCGUGGCCUCCUUGUUACAGGAAGGGCGAUGUGAGUGACAGAAGACAGACAUAAAGGAGGCAAGCUAAUACGCAGUGUGAUCACUGGCCAGAUGAAUGAGAAAAACCAGUAAAAAGUGGAGACAUUUAGAGAUUGCCAGAAUGGUGGGAAAAACAGUUUGAGAGCGGCGCUCGCCCGUUCCGGGGCCAGGAAUAGGGAAGGGGAUGUGUGUGGGCUUGAGACAUAGAGCUGCUGCAAGAAAGGAAGCCUCCAUUCAGGUAGAGAAACCUGUGGGUAGAACAGGAAGAAAUAAGCUGGAAGACGUAAAAGGGAAGACUUAGAUCCAAUGCAAGAAAGGACUUGGCAUCUGCGGGGGCUGGUGAGCCCAGAACAUCUGACUGAGACGUCUAGCUUUGCCUUCUGGGACACUUGAUCCCUUCCCCACCCUCUCCCUGUCAGGGCUGUCCUGCCUGGAAGAGAUGGGGUGCAGAGUGACGGCUAAAGAAACAAGGUGACCUUCCAUUCUCUAGAACUCUCCACCCACAGGCCAACGCUCUGACGGGCUCCUGGUAAUUAGAACAGUAAUAUUCUUCCCUUCUGUGUGA